CCAGGCCAAUGGAGUUAUGUUCCCAGGGGGAUUAUGGCUGCCUCUGUUGAGUCACACAGGUCACCAGGGAAGUGGGGGAAAGCUGGCAGUCACAGGCCUCACCCCUCUCCCACACAGCCCUCAGUCCUAAAGGCUGGUCUCACUCCCAUCCUGCCACGCAACAGCACAGGGUCUAUUUCGAGACAGCCAGUGACCAGGGCUGAGAACUUGCCCCAGACCACCAGCCUCCUCACUGAGAAAGCAAGCAGAAUCACAGUUUUUUGGAAUCUCAGGGAGCCUUCAGCGGCAAUCCAGUUCCUUCAAAGGGUCUGUGGAUUCUCUCAGUUUUCAUGAAGCUGGCAUGUAAUUCUCGUUAACUCCAUGAGCAGAGUUUCAAUACUGCCCUGACCAAUGGGCAAAGAUGAUUCCCAGGCUGGAUCCCUGAACGCUAACUGACAUCCUGCUUUUCUUAAGGGAUAUGGAAAUUUCCCUGGGACAGCUGUGCUCUGCUGGCUAAGGAGCCCACAAGGUUAAUGAACACCCACAAAGACUGAGGAGGAUAGAGAGCAUUCUUCACUGGAUGAUUAGCAUGCCAGCAUUCUUUCCUCUGUGAAACCAGCCAAGGCAAUGUGAAGGAUUCCAAGAGAGGCAAUAUGGAUGAAACCAUUUAUUAGAUUUAUAAGAGCUGAAGGAAAGUGGUAAAGCUAUCCAUCUUCUAUACUUUAUUGAGAACAGGACCAAUGACUCAGACUAUCAGGACAGUAUCUCCAAGACAGAAUUGAAAUCCUAAAGGGUGUCAGCUGUGACCCUCGAAGGAAAGGGAUCACCCUCUUUCUGACCCUAUACCACCUUCAGCAGGGAUGAAGGCAGUCAGAGAAAACUUAGUUAAAAAAUUUCUAAACUGCUUUGCUGAUUUGAUCUGGGGCCCUGGAGUGCCAACAUCCUGUGAUAGCGGCUGAUUGUUGAUGCCUGGGAGGAUACAGCAGUGACGAUCCAAAUUUACAAGACUCAACAUGGUUUUCAAAACUUCCUUUUAAAAAAGAUGUUCCUGAGUUCUGGAAUCUGAACAAAAUAUGUCUGGUUAUUAUAUAAUUCUAAUGGUCCUUGUGGAUGCUACCAUUAGAGUUCAGUUAGUGUCUCAUCUAUCACUGUAAUAUUUGUAUUGUAACACUAAUCGUGGCAAAGUAUGAUUUGAUAAAUGCUCAUUCUCAAA
rnacentral:lncRNA from 1 species